rnacentral:rRNA from 1 species
GUGGGGAAUUUUGGACAAUGGGCGAAAGCCUGAUCCAGCAAUGCCGCGUGCAGGAUGAAGGCCUUCGGGUUGUAAACUGCUUUUGUACGGAACGAAAAAGCUUCUCCUAAUACGAGAGGCCCAUGACGGUACCGUAAGAAUAAGCACCGGCUAACUACGUGCCAGCAGCCGCGGUAAUACGUAGGGUGCGAGCGUUAAUCGGAAUUACUGGGCGUAAAGCGUGCGCAGGCGGUUAUGUAAGACAGAUGUGAAAUCCCCGGGCUCAACCUGGGAACUGCAUUUGUGACUGCAUGGCUAGAGUACGGUAGAGGGGGAUGGAAUUCCGCGUGUAGCAGUGAAAUGCGUAGAUAUGCGGAGGAACACCGAUGGCGAAGGCAAUCCCCUGGACCUGUACUGACGCUCAUGCACGAAAGCGUGGGGAGCAAACAGGAUUAGAAACCCUAGUAGUCC